rnacentral:piRNA from 1 species
GAUUGAGGACCUAGGUACAUUUUGU